AAACAUUACAAAAUUCAAUUCAUUAAACGAAGAAGAUACAAAGAAAUGACUCAAAAAGAAAAACUUUUCAUAGGAGCCUUGAUUGUGUUUCUUAUACUUUCAUUUGGUAUGCACAAAAUUGAAUGUAGAAGAGUAGUACAUCUGAAAUGCAUUGGAAAAUGUACAGAAUUUCAUGAUUGUAAUGCUGAAUGCAAAGAUAGGGGUUACACAAGAGGGGAAUGUGCUGCACCUGAUUAUCUCGAUUGUUGUUGUAUAUAUAUUACUCAUAAGUUCAAUGAUUAGCUUAAAAUAAGAGCUUUUCUUCAAGUUAAAAUAAAGUGUAUGUUUCAAAAAUAAUUAAGUUUCAUUACAAUAAAGUGAAAAUAUGAUAUAUUAAUUA